AAUAUUGUACAAUGUGGGCAACCCUGAUCCACCCAUGCCGCGUGUGUGAAGAGGGUCUUCGCAUUGUAAAGCACUUUAAGCUGUGAGGAAGGGCUUUAGGUUAAUACUCUGAAGUUUUGACGUUACCAUCCGAAUAAGCACCGGCUAACUCUCUUCCAGCAGCCGCGGUAAUACAGAGGGUGCAAGCGUUGAACGGAAUUACUGGGCGUAAAGGGCGCGUAGGUGGUUUAGUAAGUUGGGUGUGAAAUCCCCGGGCUUAACAUGGGAACUGCUUUCAUAACUGCUGAGCUAGAGUACGGUAGAGGGUAGUGGAAUUUCCUGUGUAGCGGUGAAAUGCGUAGAGAUAGGAAGGAACACCAGUGGCGAAGGCGACUACCUGGACUGAUACUGACACUGAGGUGCGAAAGCGUGGGGAGCAAAC
rnacentral:rRNA from 1 species